UACGUAGGGUGCAAGCGUUAAUCGGAAUUACUGGGCGUAAAGCGUGCGCAGGCGGUUAUGCAAGACAGAUGUGAAAUCCCCGGGCUCAACCUGGGAACUGCAUUUGUGACUGCAUGGCUAGAGUACGGUAGAGGGGGAUGGAAUUCCGCGUGUAGCAGUGAAAUGCGUAGAUAUGCGGAGGAACACCGAUGGCGAAGGCAGUCCCCUGGGCCUGUACUGACGCUCAUGCACGAAAGCGUGGGGAGCAAACAGG
rnacentral:rRNA from 1 species